GGGUUAAGCUGGUGCAGCAGCAUUUCCUUUGGCACGUCAAGCCCGUAAAGUAUGAUAUUUUCAACAUGAUUCUCCAUUCAAUAUGGCACAACAGAGUUUUUGGAGUAAGAACUAGGUGACAAAUGUACACACACAGAGAGUUUCAAAGUUUUAGAUGUUUUAGUGCAGCUUUCUUUUGAGAAAUAUGUAAAAAGUUGCAUCAGUGUAUCUUAUUAUUUCCUGUAAAUAGACUUGAG
rnacentral:misc_RNA from 1 species